GACUGUGUAGGGAGUACUGACGGCCCCCUGCCCUGCCCACAGGGUGUGUGCCGUCCCCCGGCGCCCAGGACACCACCCACCGGGUGCUGACGGCCCCCCUGUCUCAGGGUGUGAGGACUGAGGAGUACUGACGGCCCCCUGUCUCAGGGUGUGAGGACUGUGUGGGGAGUACUGACGGCCCCCUGCCCCACAGGGUGUGUGCCGUCUCCCGGGCGCCCAGUACACCACCCACCGGGUACUGACGGCCCCUGCCCUCAGGGUGUCUGCCGUCUCCCCGGUGACCAGUACACCACCCACCGUCGGCUGGACAUCCGGCUGGUGCCGCACGACCAGUACCACUGCGCCGUGCUCUACUUCACCGGCAGCGACGAGUUCAACCGACAGAUGCGCGCUCACGCGCUGGAGCAGGGGUUCACCCUGAACGAGUACGGGCUGCGGCCGCUGGGCACCACGGGUGUAGCGGGCGAGCCGGUGCCCGUGAGCAGCGAGCGAGAGGUGUUUGAGUACCUGCAGUACCCGUACCGGCCGCCCGAGCAGCGUAACCUCUGAGUCCGAGUGCCGCCCGGCCGCUACCCCGCCCCGUCCAGCAGCGCAGUCUGCGGCGGCAGCGGAGUGCCGCCCGGUCCCGGCAGCGCGGUCUGCGGCGGCAGCGGAGUGCCUCCCGGCCGCUACCCCGUCCCGGCAGCGGAGUGCCGCCCCGUCCCGGCAGCGGAGUGCCGCCCCGUCCCGGCAGCGCGGACCAGUCCCGGCAGCGCGGUAGCGCGGUAAGAUAGCGCACACGAAUCUCACCGAAUGUGUGACUUGUCUCGCUGUUUUCUUUGUUAUUGCUGCGAAGGUGCUAAUGAUAUUGCUCGCUCACUUCACGAUGUUUUUAUUAG